UCAAAAUGGAAGUUUGGCUUGAGUUCCUCUGCGUAGCGGUUCGAGUCUACGCUAUAGCCAUUUUUCUGUUUUAUUUUUAAUUUUAAAACGACGUCGUUUUGGGUUUCUAACAGAAAGUUAACUCUGUGAUCGUUCUGUUAACGGAAAUUUAACGGCAUAUCUUAAACGGUCCAGUCAACGAAACUUUGCUAUUUUAUUGAGAAGUCAACGAAAACUUCAUGAUUAAAAUGACAUUUUCAAAGUUCAUGCUUUUUUCAUCCCAAAUUUAAAAGUUGAAGCUUUUUUUGACAUUUUUCCCAAUAAUCUAUGUUCAUGUGAUAAAGUAUGUUUGGAUUCAAACUUU
rnacentral:sRNA from 1 species